rnacentral:rRNA from 1 species
UGGGGAAUAUUGGACAAUGGGCGCAAGCCUGAUCCAGCCAUGCCGCGUGAGUGAUGAAGGCCCUAGGGCUGUAAAGCUCUUUCACCGGUGAAGAUAAUGACGGUAACCGGAGAAGAAGCCCCGGCUAACUUCGUGCCAGCAGCCGCGGUAAUACGAAGGGGGCUAGCGUUGUUCGGAUUUACUGGGCGUAAAGCGCACGUAGGCGGACUUUUAAGUCAGGGGUGAAAUCCCGGGGCUCAACCCCGGAACUGCCUUUGAUACUGGAAGUCUUGAGUAUGGUAGAGGUGAGUGGAAUUCCGAGUGUAGAGGUGAAAUUCGUAGAUAUUCGGAGGAACCCCAGUGGCGAAGGCGGCUCACUGGACCAUUACUGACGCUGAGGUGCGAAAGCGUGGGGAGCAAACGGG